AUUGAACGCUGGCGGCAGGCCUAACACAUGCAAGUCGAGCGGAGCGGCGGACGCGUGAGUAAUGCCUAGGAAUCUGCCUGGCCGUGGGGGAUAACGUCCGCAAACGGGCGCUAAUACCGCAUACUAUCAGAUGUGCCUAGGGCGGAUUAGCUAGUUGGUGGGGUGAAGGCCUACCAGGGCCACGAUCCGUAACUGGUCUGAGAGGAUGAUCAGUCACCCUGGGAUGUAGACACGGUCCAGAGUCCUACGGGAGGCAGGAGUGGGGAAUAUUGGACGAUGGGCCAAGCCCUGAUGCAGCCAUGCGGCGUGUGUGAAGAAGGCCUUCGGGUUGUAAUGCACUUUUUGCGGGGAGGCGUUAGCCGCCGAAGAAGCACCGGCUAACUUCGUGACAGCCGCCGCGGUAAUAC
rnacentral:rRNA from 1 species